rnacentral:rRNA from 1 species
CACUCCUGCGGGAGGCAGCAGUGGGGAAUUUUGGACAAUGGGCGAAAGCCUGAUCCAGCAAUGCCGCGUGAGUGAAGAAGGCCUUCGGGUUGUAAAGCUCUUUUGUCAGGGAAGAAACGGUGAAAGCUAAUAUCUUUUGCUAAUGACGGUACCUGAAGAAUAAGCACCGGCUAACUACGUGCCAGCAGCCGCGGUAAUACGUAGGGUGCAAGCGUUAAUCGGAAUUACUGGGCGUAAAGCGUGCGCAGGCGGUUUUGUAAGUCUGAUGUGAAAUCCCCGGGCUCAACCUGGGAAUUGCAUUGGAGACUGCAAGGCUAGAAUCUGGCAGAGGGGGGUAGAAUUCCACGGGUAGCAGUGAAAUGCGUAGAUAUGUGGAGGAACACCGAUGGCGAAGGCAGCCCCCUGGGUCAAGAUUGACGCUCAUGCACGAAAGCGUGGGGAGCAAACAGGAUUAGAAACCCGGGUAGUCCCA